rnacentral:rRNA from 1 species
UUUCAGUCGAUGGAAGUUUGAGGCAAUAACAGGUCUGUGAUGCCCUUAGAUGUUCUGGGCCGCACGCGCGCUACAAUGCUUGGUUCAACGAGUUUUUACUUGGCUGAGAGGCCUGGUUAAUCUUUUGAAAUCCAAGCGUGCUUGGGCUUGCCUCUUGCAACUAGAGGCACCAACGAGGAAUUCCUAGUAGACGCAAGUCAUCAACUUGCAUCGAUUACGUCCCUGCCCUUUGUACACACCGCCCGUCGCUCCUACUGAUUGGAUGCUCCGGUGAAACGUCGGGAGAAUGCACCUGCGAUCAGCAAUGGUCCAGGUGCGUUUGAACUUCCUUAAAUUUGGGUUUCUAGAAGAAGGAGAAGUCGUAACAAGGUUUCCGU